rnacentral:rRNA from 1 species
CCUACGGGUGGCAGCAGUGGGGAAUAUUGGGCAAUGGAGGCAACUCUGACCCAGCAACGCCGCGUGAAUGAUGAAGGUUUUCGGAUUGUAAAGCUCUUUUCUAAGGGAAGAAGAAAGUGACGGUACCUUAGUAAUAAGUUUCGGCUAACUAAGUGCCAGCAGCCGCGGUAAUACGUAGGAGGCAAGCGUUAUCCGGAAUGACUGGGCGUAAAGGGUGCGUAGGUGGUUUCACAAGUUAGUAGCGCAACUCCGGAGCUCAACUUCGGAACUACUACUGAAACUGUUGGACUUGAGUGCAGGAGGGGCAAUCGGAAUGCCUGGUGUAGCGGUGGAAUGCGUAGAUAUUAGGAGGAACACCAGUGGCGAAGGCGGAUUGCUGGACUGUAACUGACGCUGAGGCACGAAAGCGUGGGGAGCAAACAGGAUUAGAUACCCGAGUAGUC